CAGUCGCCGCGGUAACACGAAGGGGCUAGCGUUGCUCGGAAUUACUGGGCGUAAAGGGAGCGUAGGCGGAUGAAUUAGUCAGGGGUGAAAUCCCGGGGCUCAACCUCGGAACUGCCUUUGAUACUGUUCAUCUUGAGUAUGGGAGAGGUGUGUGGAACUCCGAGUGUAGAGGUGAAAUUCGUAGAUAUUCGGAAGAACACCAGUGGCGAAGGCGACACACUGGCCCAUUACUGACGCUGAGGCUCGAAAGCGUGGGGAGCAAACAGGAUUAGAUACCCCGGUAGUCCCUGUCUCUUAUACA
rnacentral:rRNA from 1 species